AGGGUUCGAUUCUGGCUCAGGAUGAACGCUAGCGACAGGCUUAACACAUGCAAGUCGAGGGCAGCAUAAAAGUAGCAAUACUUGGUGGCGACCGGCGCACGGGUGAGUAACGCGUAUGCAACCUACCUAUCAGAGGGGAAUAACCCGGCGAAAGUCGGACUAAUACCGCAUAAAACAGGGGCACCGCAUGGUGAUAUUUGUUAAAGAAAUUCGCUGAUAGAUGGGCAUGCGUUCCAUUAGGUAGUUGGUGAGGUAACGGCUCACCAAGCCGACGAUGGAUAGGGGAACUGAGAGGUUGGUCCCCCACACUGGUACUGAGACACGGACCAGACUCCUACGGGAGGCAGCAGUGAGGAAUAUUGGUCAAUGGGCGGGAGCCUGAACCAGCCAAGUCGCGUGAAGGAAGAAGGAUCUAUGGUUCGUAAACUUCUUUUGCAGGGGAAUAAAGUGCAGGACGUGUCCUGUUUUGUAUGUACCCUGAGAAUAAGGAUCGGCUAACUCCGUGCCAGCAGCCGC
rnacentral:rRNA from 1 species